CGGAGAUAGCUGGUUCUCCUCGAAAUAGCUUUAGGGCUAGCCUCAUGAGAGUCUUAUGGAGGUAGAGCACUGAAUUGCCUAGGGGGCGUCAAAGCUUACCAAAGCAUAUCAAACUCCGAAUGCCAUCAAGAUGAUUCAUGGGAGUCAGACCAUACGAGAUAAGUUGGAUGGUCAAAAGGGAAAGAGCCCAGACCUACAGCUAAGGUCCCAAAGUGCGUGUUAAGUGGAAAAGGAUGUGGGGAUUCUAAGACAACUAGGACGUUGGCUUAGAAGCAGCCAUUCAUUGAAAGAGUGCGUAAUAGCUCACUAGUCGAGAGUCCCUGCGCCGAAAAUGUCCGGGGCUGAAACACGACACCGAAGCUUAGGAAUGUGUAAACAUUGGUAGAGGAGCAUUGCUGGCGGGAUGAAGCCAUACCGUAAGGAGUGGUGGACUGCCAGGAAGAGAGAAUGCCGGAAUGAGUAGCGAGAUGAAGGUGAGAAUCCUUCAGGCCGAAUAUCUAAGGUUUCCAGAGUAAAGCUGAUCUGCUCUGGGUAAGUCGGGACCUAAGGCGAGGUCGAAAGACGUAGUCGAUGGAUAACAGGUUGAAAUUCCUGUACCGCAUAUAAACAGAACUGUGGGGACACAGACAGGGAAUGGAAUCCGGGAAUGGAUAUCCCGGUGCAAGCGAGGUAGGAGUGCUGUUGGCAAAUCCGCAGCACGAUCUGAAGACGUGACGCGUACCGAACAUAAGUAGGGAAGUCCAGGCCCCUGGCUGUCAAGAAAAGCCGCUAUCGUUUUAUAUGUGCCCGUACCGCAAACCGACACAGGUGGAUGAGGAGAGAAUCCUAAGGCCGACGGGAGAAGUAUUGUUAAGGAACUCGGCAAAAUGACUCCGUAACUUCGGGAGAAGGAGUGCCAUGAGAGUGGCCGCAGAGAAAUGGCCCAAGCAACUGUUUAGCAAAAACACAGGUCUAUGCAAAACCGCAAGGUGAAGUAUAUGGGCUGACGCCUGCCCGGUGCUGGAAGGUUAAGGGGAGAGGUUAGCGCAAGCGAAGCUUUGAACUUAAGCCCCAGUAAACGGCGGCCGUAACUAUAACGGUCCUAAGGUAGCGAAAUUCCUUGUCGGGUAAGUUCCGACCCGCACGAAAGGCGUAAUGAUUUGAGCGCUGUCUCGACAAUGCACCCGGUGAAAUUGAAAUACCAGUGAAGAUGCUGGUUACCUGCGCCAGGACGGAAAGACCCCAUGGAGCUUUACUCCAGCUUGAUACUGGGAUUCGGUAUUGCAUGUACAGGAUAGGUGGGAGGCUAAGAAAUGGUAACGCCAGUUGCCAUGGAGCCAAUGUUGGGAUACCACCCUUGCAGUACUGGGUUUCUAACCAGCAGCCGUGAUCCGGCUGGGGGACAAUGUCAGGUGGGGAGUUUGACUGGGGCGGUCGCCUCCGAAAGGGUAUCGGAGGCGCUCAAAGGU
rnacentral:rRNA from 1 species